rfam:Ornithorhynchus anatinus chromosome 1, whole genome shotgun sequence.
ACCCUCUCAAGAUCACACCUGGAAAAUUUCCAGUACUUUACCAGUCUCGGCUAUGGGAGGGAGAGUCAAGCAGAGGCAUACCCAUUCCAUUCUUAGUUUGGGCAGUGGCUAGCAAGUGAAAGGCAAUCUGUUACAAUU